CUCUCGUCGGCGUUCCUGGUUGCUCCGGCGUUCGCUCCGUCGCAUCGCAUUGUUGCAGCUUCGGGUGCUCCUUGCUCGCCACCGUCGCCGACGAAGCAAAGGUUCUGCGAACAUCAGAGUGGGCGUCGCUCAAUACGACGCGCCUUUCACCGUCCCCCAUUGUAUCGCCCGGUACACUAGCUAGGUGCCCAAGCAAAAGGUGCAAGAUCAGGUGAUUCCAAAUGCGGGACAUUCUGUUAAUGAACCUGGCAUAGCUGCAGGGCUUGUGGCUGCAAAUGAGAAGCUCAAGAAUAUCGUGAAGAACCGAGGAUAGUGAAUUUUGUGUAAGAUGCGCACGACAGGGUAUAAGCAAUUUUCUCACCUACCUCACUGGAACAAUCUUGAUGUUGAUGCAUCCAGAAAUGGAAGGUGGUUGCAAAUAAAUUGAAGAUGGUUUGGUGCAAUGGCUAGUAGACUUUUAACAUGCUUCCUUGUGUUUGACAUUUUAUGCUUUCAUAUGUGCCAAAUGCCCCACCAAAGCCUGAUUUAUUUUGCACAUAAAAUUUAAAAUCGCUAGUUGACUUGGAAUGUCAAGGAUAUGCACAAUUUGCUAGCAAAUGAGCAGUAGAGUAGCAUAACUUGAACCUGAUGGUCACAAAGUUUUUUGCAAAGAGGUCCGUGGAGUGUUUGCUGCACAAAUAGUUUGUUAAGCUCAUUUUUCAGUCACCUGGAA